rnacentral:rRNA from 1 species
UACGAAGGGGGCGAGCGUUGUUCGGAUUUACUGGGCGUAAAGGGCGCGCAGGCGGCUGUUCAAGUCAGGCGUGAAAGCCCCGGGCUUAACCUGGGAACUGCGUCUGGGACUGGAUGGCUAGAGAUCGGGAGAGGAGAGUGGAAUUCCCGGUGUAGCGGUGAAAUGCGUAGAUAUCAGGAAGAACACCCGUGGCUAAGGCGGCUCUCUAGUACGG